UCGGCCGCUUCCCACCUUGACCAGACGAAGACGGUGUUAGAUCAAAUUCUUCUCGGUCUGCGGUGAAUCCGGGAUGUUCCUUUGCCGGAGGUAGAAGAAGCUAUGGCGAGUCAGAGGUAGAAGAUGGUAAUCUGCACAGAAAAAUCUGGUAAUAUUAUUAUUUUUUUUUCUUAUUUUCCAUCGAUAUCUGUUGCCUUUGACAGCCCCUUGAUCAGUUCUCCAAAGACAUGUUCAUGGUGCGUGGAUCUGAUGCUGCUUCUUAUUUGACUGGCAGAUCGUCAUUCUGCGGCGUCAAAUCCUCAGAUCGCGCCGCCGCGGCCGAUUCGAGAAUGCCGAGCAGGCGACGCCCGCAGUUGUUCUUCGCGAUUGGUCGGAGAGGAUUUCGGAGGACGAAGCCGGCGAAUCAAGGAGGAGAACAGGAACUGAAUCGAAGAAGCGGGAUCCUGAUUCUCACAGGCUUCUCUUACCUU
rnacentral:lncRNA from 1 species